CGAAGUCUGUCACCAUGUCGUGCGAGUCGUCUAUGGUUCUCGGGUACUGGGAUAUUCGUGGAGUGAGUGCCGUCUCAACGGUAGAGCCGCUCGGUCAAAGAGACUGACGCGGAGAGGGCGGGUCUCUGGGUCCGCGGGAGCCUUUUCGAGCUGCCGAGCCACGGAUGUCGACCCCUGCCCAGCCUCUGGGAUCGCGGGCCCUGUGGGGAGGGGCGGAGGAGACCACGCCGGAGCCGGGCCUGGGGGCCGCUUAACCACCGCCCCGGCAGGACGCAGGGACUCGGCAGCCCCGGGGCCGGGGGACGUUAGCGGGCGGGGGUUGGGAAUGGGUGGGAGCUGCGCAGUCGCUGAACCGCUGUCUUCCCCAGCUGGCGCACGCCAUCCGCCUGCUCCUGGAGUUCACGGAUACCUCCUAUGAGGAGAAACGGUACACGUGCGGGGAAGCUCCUGACUAUGAUCGAAGCCAAUGGCUGGAUGUGAAAUUCAAACUAGACCUGGACUUUCCUAAUCUGCCCUACCUCCUGGAUGGGAAGAACAAGAUCACCCAGAGCAAUGCCAUCUUGCGCUACAUCGCUCGCAAGCACAACAUGUGUGGUGAGACUGAAGAAGAAAAGAUUCGAGUGGACAUCAUAGAGAACCAAGUAAUGGAUUUCCGCACACAACUGAUAAGGCUCUGUUACAGCUCCGACCACGAAAAACUGAAGCCUCAGUACUUGGAAGAGCUACCUGGACAACUGAAACAAUUCUCCAUGUUUCUGGGGAAAUUCUCAUGGUUUGCCGGGGAAAAGCUCACCUUUGUGGAUUUUCUCACCUAUGAUAUCUUGGAUCAGAACCGUAUAUUUGACCCCAAGUGCCUGGAUGAGUUCCCAAACCUGAAGGCUUUCAUGUGCCGUUUUGAGGCUUUGGAGAAAAUCGCUGCCUACAUACAGUCUGAUCAGUUCUUCAAGAUGCCCAUCAACAACAAGAUGGCCCAGUGGGGCAACAAGCCUGUAUGCUGAGCAGGAGGCAGACUUGCAGAGCUUGUUUUGUUUCAUCCUGUCCCUAAGGGGUCAGCACUCUUUCUUUGCUCUUUUCAAUAAAUAGCACUUACGUU
rnacentral:sRNA from 1 species